rnacentral:lncRNA from 1 species
CGGGCGCCAUUUUCGGGGGGUCGAUGGAGGCGGUAUGGGGCGGUGUGGGGCGAUGUGGGGCGAUGUGGGGCGCGGGACCCCCCCGUCCUCCGCUGCUUCUCUCCCGCAGGACCUGCAGGAGAGAACGGCGGCGCUGCUGAGGAGGAGUGAAGCUGUGCUGAAUCAGCGCCUGCGGACCCCCCGGACCCACCCAGCUCCGCCCCUUUGUGGGCGUGGCCAACCGGCCGGUGGGCGGAGCCUGGAUGAGGACCCACUGCAGUGCUGGAGGGCAAACAGGAGGCGGGGCUUCACAGAAGCCCCUCCCCCUGUGACGUCAGCACGGAGGCGGAGCCAAUCGUUGGAGGCAGCGAGAGGGGCGGAGCCACGGCGGCAAAGGAGCCAAUCAGAUGAGGUCCGUGGAAGCGCAGUUGGCCGCCCCGCCCCCCCCGCAGUAAAACCUCCGCGCCAUUUUUUGUCCUCAUUUCUCCGUUUUUCG